AAGGUGUCUUGGCUAAUGUGUCUUGGCUAAGGUGUCUUGGCUAAGGUGUCUUGGCUAAUGUGUCUUGGCUAAUGUGUCUUAUCUAAUGUGUCUUGGCUAAGGUGUCUUGGCUAAUGUGUCUUGGCUAAGGUGUCUUGGCUAAGGUGUCUUGGCUAAUGUGUCUUGGCUAAUGUGUCUUGGCUAAUGUGUCUCGGCUAAUGUGUCUUGGCUAAGGUGUCUUGGCUAAGGUGUCUUUUCUAAUGUGUCUUGGCUAAUGUGUCUUGGC